rnacentral:rRNA from 1 species
UAAUGUCUGGGAAACUGCCUGAUGGAGGGGGGUAACUACUGGAAACGGUAGCUAAUACCGCAUAAUGUCGCAAGACCAAAGUGGGGGGACUUCGGGCCUCAUGCCAUCAGAUGUGCCCAGAUGGGAUUAGCUAGUAGGUGGGGUAACGGCUCACCUAGGCGACGAUCCCUAGCUGGUCUGAGAGGAUGACCAGCCACACUGGAACUGAGACACGGUCCAG